UGCACGUUAUGCAGUCCGUCGCUUAAUAAUUCAUGGCAUGCAGGAGUAUCGAUCUGUUCAGGGCUUCUGUGCUGGGAUUGCAUCACCGUCAUCACAAAUGCCCCGCUGUCGUUAGAAUCUUCCACGAAAACAUGCUAUCCCGGAAUCUACACUGUCUGGCCAUUGCUGAAAACUCAAAAUUGGUUAAACCGACACUUGCAGCCAGAAGAGUGAUUCCGUGUUGUAAGGCCAUGUACAUUUAUGGCGCCAUCAUCCGUGUUUAUUUCCACGCUAUAAAGCUGCUUCUGUAACACGCGGUCGAUAGCCGAGCGUCCACAUGCCGCCGAGUGGAAAGGUGUGGACGUGCACCAACUGUGCCACACUCUGCUGACCUCAGAACGUACCUGGAUUGCACCUGUAUUAUCGAUCACCUGUAGCUUCAACUGUCUUCCCAAUCACUACGACUUGUGAUCAGUCUCGCGGAACACCCAAGGGCGACGUGUCAUGUGACAGACUACGCAUGCCCUUCACGCACGCGAUUAUGACGUAGGGGAUUAAUGGACGGGUGUGUUAUUCUUCUUAUCGUGUAUAUCAGUGUUGGAAAACAGUAUACAUGCAACCACAGAUAUGUUUACAUUCUUGAAACAGAAAUAAAUAAAACAACAUACCACAAGGU